rnacentral:rRNA from 1 species
CCUGGUUGAUCCUGCCAGUGGUCAUAUGCUUGUCUCAAAGAUUAAGCCAUGCAUGUCUAAGCAUAGCUGGUAACAGUGAAGCCGCGAAUAGCUCAUUACAACAGCCGUUGUUUCUUGGAUCUACUCUCUACUUGGAUAACUGUGGUAAUUCUAGAGCUAAUACAUGCAUCAAGACCCGACGCAAGGACGGUCGCAUUUAUUAGAACAAAACUAUCCGGUCUUCGGACCGUACUUUGGUGACUCUGAAUAACUGAGCAAAUCACAUGGUCUCGCACCGGUGAUGUAUCUUUCAAGUGUCUGCCUUAUCAACUUUCGAUGGUAGUUUAUGUGCCUACCAUGGUUGUAACGGGUAACGGAGAAUCAGGGUUUGACUCCGGAGAGGGAGCCUGAGAAACGGCUACCACUUCUAAGGAAGGCAGCAGGCGCGCAAAUUACCCAUUCUCGGUACGAGGAGGUAGUGACGAAAAAUACCAAGCCGAGGCUCUCUGAGUUUCGGCAUUGGAAUGAGAACAAUCCAAAUCUUUUAACGAGGAUCUAGUGGAGGGCAAGUCUGGUGCCAGCAGCCGCGGUAAUUCCAGCUCCGCAAGUGUAUAUCUAUUUUGCUGAGUUUAAAAAGCUCGUAGUUGGAUCUGCGUGUUCAGCAUCUGGUGCGGUCUUUGGCCACUACUGGAAUGCGACACAUCGAAUGUCGGUUUGCCGUUGAUGCUCUUAACCGGGUGUGAGCGGUGGCUGAUGAGUUUACUUUGAACAAAUUAGAGUGCUCAACGCAGGCGUUUCGCUUGUAUAUUUCUGCAUGGAAUAAUAGAAUAGGACCUCGGUUCUAUUUUGUUGGUUUUCGGAAGUGAGGUAAUGAUUAAGAGGGACUGACGGGGGCAUUCGUACUGCGACGUGAGAGGUGAAAUUCUUGGAUCGUCGCAAGACGCACUACUGCGAAGGCAUUUGCCAAGAAUGUUUUCAUUAAUCAAGAACGAAAGUAACGGGUUCGAAGGCGAUCAGAUACCGCCCUAGUCGUUACCGUAAACAAUAUUGACUGGGAGCAUGUCGGAGUUUCCAAGAACCCGAUAUGAACCCGCAGGGAAACCAGAAGUCAAUUACUGGGGGAGUACGAUUGCAAAUUCGAAACUUAAAGGAAUUGACGGAAGGGCACCACCAGGGGUGGAGCCUGCGGCUUAAUUUGACUCAACACGGGGAAACUCACCCGGCCCGGACACCGGAAGGAUUGACAGAUUGAGAGCUCUUUCUUGAUUCGGUGGGUGGUGGUGCAUGGCCGUUCUUAGUUGGUGGAGUGAUUUGUCUGGUUAAUUCCGAUAACGAACGAGACUCUGGCCUACUAAAUAGUCGUCGGAUCC